UUAUUGUAAGGUGAUUUAAUUAAUUUGAAAAGUAAAUGUAAUCAUUAAAUUAAGAUAAUUUGGCGGUAUUUUGAAUAGUUAGAGGAACUUGUUAGGUAAAUGAUAAUCCACGAUAGGAUGGUCUUAUUAAUAAUUUUAUGUAUUGUUGUUUAAAGAUUACUUUAAGAGGAGUUAAUUAAUAAGUUUUAUUUAAUUAUAAUUCAAAUCAAAGUGUAGAUUUUUUAAGGUUAAAUGAGUUACAAUUAAUUAAAUUAUUGUAUUAGUAAUUUAAUAAUUAUUAUGAUAGAGGAUUUAAUAGUAAAUUUAUAAAAUUAUAUAAUUUGAAAUAUUAAAUAAAAUAUG
rnacentral:rRNA from 1 species